rnacentral:sRNA from 1 species
UUCGACUCGAGCGCCAGCGAGAGAACGUUGCCAAGGGCAACGGCCCGAAGGGCGAGGAGCGAUAGCGACGAGUUAUCCUUCCCCCACCACCA